rnacentral:lncRNA from 1 species
CAGGGAUCAAAUCCGAGCUGUAGCUGUGACCUACACCACAGCUGCAGCAAUGCCUGAUCCUUAACCCACUGUGCCACACUGGGAACUCCUAUUAUUCCAUUUUAAAGACAAGGCUCAGAGAUUCUGAGUGCUGUCUCUAAGGCAAAGCUGGGAUUGGAAGCCAGCUCUGUGGGGCUUUAGGGGCUGUGUCCUUAACUCUCUGAUAUGAUAACCCCCUGCAAUGCAGAUCCUGAUCUAAGGCUACUGAUGAGAUUUCCCUGGGCUAGAAGCAUUUUUCUUCCUCUCUCUUACGUAGGAAAUCCAGCUUCUUUCUCAAGCCGUAUGGGCUACUCCAACCUAGGAGGAAGGAGGGUUUUCAUGCCUAGGAUGAAAAGAGAGAAUUAAUGACCUUAUUAAAAAGAAAGGCAUUUCCUCCUGGUGCUUGUCCUCAGGAAGGACAGCCAGGAGUCUGAAGAGCUUGUAAAUAAAAUUUGUGAAAGGUUAAACACUGAAAUACACACACGGAAGUUGAGAUAAGCCAUUUGUGGGAUAAAUCCAAGAGAUUGUAUUUGCAUGUGUUCUUGGACAGAUGAGGCUGGGCUUGACUGUGACCAGAAAAGAGUAAGCAAAGCCCCAGUUACUUUAGGGGUCGGAGGGCCACGUGGUCAGAGGUGGGCGCUGGCCAGACUUGGAAGCUGAAAAUGACAAGUCUCAGGGGCAGAUGCUAGCGAUGUCCAUCCACACAGCAUGCAGGCAAGAAGCAAGCUUAGCCAGCAGAUCUGAGUAUCGAGGUGCCCUGGGCACAGAAACCCCUCUAGCAGGGCAGAGCGCUGAAAGCAAUUCAGCUGAGGGAUGUGGCUAAUGCUUAACCACCACCCCUGCCCUGAUUCCUUGCUCACUCAGUCUCUGCUGGAUAAUUUGGCUGCUUCUGUGUUCAUUUUUCAACAGAGAAAGAACAAGGCGCUCCGGCCAGUGUGAUCUUCCAGUACUCUUGAAAGUUGAUUUUUUCAUUCUAAGUGAAUCAGUUGGCUUUCUCAUGACAGCUUGGCUUUUCCAGUAAUUUGUCUUCAGGGAGGGAAUGAUCUGAUCGUCCUAGCAGAGUGCCACCUGCCAUCUUUCUUUCUUUUUGGAACUUAAUGAAUGGGCGACCUGCGGCUUACACAUCGAUGUCUCGUGUGUGCCUGGUGAAUGCCGAGAGCGGGAGGAAGGGGCUGGAGAGGGCCAAUGAGCCAAGUCCUGGCCUGGCGAGAGUGCAGGCCUUGCAGGUGGAGGAUUCAUCAGGCAGUGAAGCUGGGCUCCUUGGGUCUCUUAGGAGAGAGCCAGUCACCCUUCCCUGAAAAUAUCCCCUGGACCACGGUGACACAUGGGCCUAAACACAGAGCACCAAAAUCAUCCAUGCCCCCAAGGAAUCAAGUUUGUAUCACCUCACCCCAGGCAGGCCUGGUUUUUCCUGUUCCAUGGAAGAGCCGUCUUGCCUUCCUCCCCCGGGCGUGAGAAAAAGUUCUGGAAAUCUAGCAUUGCAAUCUUUCUACCUCACUUAUAACCCAUGGAUGGCUCCCUAGAGCAUAAAGUCCAAACUUCUUGGCAAAACCAGCCCUUGUGGCAAUAGGAGUAAAAAAGAUUAUUGCUGCACUUAUUUCAUCAAAUCAAGCCCCCUAAUACCUGUACGGUGCAUUAUUUUUUGAAGUACUGGAAAAAAAAAAAACCAUCGUCAAAUAAACGGUGAUACCCCAUUGAUGAUAAGAUAUAUCUGAUUUCAGACAGGUUAAGAUGUGGAAAAUAUUUGAGUCCUAAAAUCACUGAAAUACAGUAUGUAAAAAGGUGGGAAUUGCAAUAGCUUUUCCUCUAUUGGGAGAGACAAUGCAUUUUAGAGGAAAAGGAUUCUGCUGAGUAGGAGCACAUCAUGCUUGACCUCAUUUGUUGGUUUAUUGGUUUUUUUUGUCUUUUGCCUUUUCUAGGGGUGCUCCUGCAGCAUAUGGAGAUUCCCAGGCUAGGAGUCAAAUUGGAGCUACAGCUGCCGGCCUACACCACAGCCACAGUAACUUGGGAUCCGAGCUGCGUCUCUGACCUACAUCCCAGCUCAUGGCAACACUGGAUCCUUAACCCACUGAGCGAGACCAGGGAUCGAACCUGCUUUCUCACAGAUGCUAGUUGGAUUUAUUUCUCCUAAGCCACAACAGGAACUCCCUGAUUUAUUGUUUUGAAAAUAGCUGGCCUAAGGUGCCUAGGCCUGGGUAAGUGGAGAGCAAGUCAGAGAGACAGACAGAUGCCAGAGGAAUUGCUCUGCAUAAUAAGGUAACAGGAACGGAGCAUCCCUCAGCUGCCAGGACAAUGAGAGAAGGGAGAUGUGAGCCAGGUGUGGACACAGCUCAGACUUCCCAGUGCUGUAAGCACUCUAGAAGGACCUGGGAGCUUUGAGAUCUAUCCCACUUCCAUGGAGCCUGACUUAAGUGAUUUUAGGUGUUCUUCAUCUUGAACACAGGUCUUUUUUAAAAGAUUCUAACUAGUGGAGUUCCCGUCGUGGCUUAGUGGUUAACGAGUCCGACUAGGAACCAUGAGGUUGCGGGUUCGAUCCCUGCCCUUCCUCAGUGGGUUAAGGAUCCGGCAUUGCCGUGAGCUGUGGUAUAGGUUGCAGACGCGGCUCAGAUCCUGCAUUGCUGUUGCUCUGGCGCAGGCUGGCAGCUGUAGCUCCGAUUAGACCCCUAGCCUGGGAACCUCCAUAUGCCUCAGGAGCGGCCCAAGAAAUGGCAAAAAGACAAAAAANNNNNNNNNNNNNNNNNNNNNNNAAAAAAAAAAAAAAAAAAAAAAAAGAUUCUAACUAGAAAGUUGGGGCCAUCCCGGCUAGUGUUUCAAAAUAAGCUGUUUCCUAUUCUGGGCUGUGUCCUUUGCUCUCCCAAGCACACAGCGUAAGCUUGCCACGCCCGCCGUCAUGGAAGAAGAGCUGGUGCCCAGAAAGGAUGGAGGGGGCACAGAGGACAGACAGCAGCAGCAGAGGCCGAGGGCAGUGGCGAGGCCCCUAUCGCAGGUGAGCUGCAGGCUGAGGUGCCAGGUGGCCCAGCAGAGUCUCUCCUCCACCAGAAUCACACUGAAUUCUCAGUGAUAUCAGGUUUCCCACUGUUCCUGGUGUGGCUAGUUUGGCGUUUCCCAGGGGAAUAGUGAGCCAAAGGAUGAUUCUAGAAAGCUGGAGGACUUGGGGGACACUCAGGACCAACCAUUUGGUUACACCAAGUCUUUUAUUAUCUGUUCCUGCCCAUGUUAUUCCACCCUCUCUGCACUAUAUUCCCCACCCCACCUCCACCCUCUAUGGCUUGGAAAAUACUCAUCCGUUCUUCAAGAUGCAGUCAGAGGUGUUUGUGCUCUGAGAAGCUUUUCCUGCACCCUUUCCUCAUCCUCACCCCCCACCCCCAGCCCCACCGGAGUGGGUCGUUUGCUCAUGCUGCCCCACUGAAGCCUGUGCAGCCCUCUCUGAGUGCCUGAGCAUGGCCCUGCUGCCACCUUGAUCUUGGACUUCUAGCCUCCAGAACUGUGAGACCAUAUAGUCCUAAGCCAUUCAGUUUGUGGGACCUUGUUAUGAUAACCCUAGCACACUAAUACUUCUUUCAACAUAUCAGUGCCCUUAUCUCGUUAGUUCUGAUAUCCCCUCCCUCUCAACUAUAAGCCCCUCGAAAGCAGAGAUGGCUUUAGUCAUCUUUGUACCUCACCUAAUGACCCCUAAAAGUUUGUUGAGUGAAUCGGUGAUGGCAGUGUAUUCCCCAGUUUCCUGAAUUUACUCAUAGAAAUAGAACCAGGUGGCCCAAACCAAAAAAAUGCCCUGGGGCUUAGCCUGGUUGCUGUGAUCCACUCUGCCCACAGCUGUCCACGAGUUUCCUUAAUAGCUACGGGAAUGAUGAGUACCCUGUUUCCAGCUGGGAUUAAGUGGUCAUCAAAUUGUGUGCAUUCCUUCAGUCAGUUCCUUGACAACUGCUGAAUGACUAGGAACCAGGUUCUGUGCUAGGAACUGGGGAUACAGUGGUAAAGACCAGCCCAGGCCAAUGGAGUUUCUACACUAACAGGAGAGACAGAUUAAGUAAUGAUGUAAUUAGAGUGAUGGUAAGUGCUGAGAAGCAGCACAGGAUACCAGGAGAAUAAUUAACAGAAGAAUCUGGUGAAUUCUAGAACGCAUCUCCGACAGAGUGAUGUUGGAGCUGGGCAAAAGGGAUUCAGUAAGCUAGUAAGCUAGACAAGAUGGUAGCAGAAGCAUGAUCCCCGUGGAGGGCACAGCCCAUGUGAAAGCCAUUGGUUCGACAAUUAUUUGUGGAGCCCUUCCUAUGGGCCAAGCAGGUGCUCUAGAUCCCAGGCCCACAGCAGAGAAAACAACUGAUACAAAUCCCAGCUAUCGCGAAGCUUGCAUUCAAGAAGCCAGAGGGAAGGGCAGGAGGAAAAAGCAUGGCGGGUGUCUUCAAGAAAAGGAAUUGCAACAGGUCUGACCCACCGAAUCUGCUUUGAUCACCGCUGGACUUCCCACACAAAGAACAGUGCCUGCACACGGUAAGAGCUCACUAUCUUAUUUGCAGUGGAUGAGUUCAGUUCAGCGAGGAGGGUGGAGUUGGGGGGUGUGUGUGGUGACUCUGGAACAGCCUGAGUUAACGAGCGCCAGAAGGUGCCCUGGAGUUUAUAAGAUUGCUGUUGGGUCCUUUCACUUUCACAGUCCUGUUUUUCACUGCUACUCGUGGUUCGGGUGGCCUUGAUGAUUCCAAAACUCUCUCAGCAAUCGGGUGUUCUCAGCCUGUGAGUGGCAUCUGGUUUUCAGCCCAGGUUCACAACGGUUGGCAUCCUUCACCUAAACCAGGUUGUAUGGCUCUCAGGUGCCAGGAUUGACUGUGCUCAGAAACCUCGGAAGGAAAAUAUCGUGUCCUUUCUGUUCCAGUGGCUUCCUCCCUGGUUUAGGUCACCGUGACCUCUACUCUGGGUCAUUAAAUGAGGGGAGAGGCCCAAUCCAGCUCCAGGGUAGGGGGUUCUAUUGUCGAGGAGAAGACUUUGAUGGACUUUCUGGCUGAUAGACUCAGAUUCUGUCUCUCUCUUCUCCCCUCCUGUUUUUUGCACAAGGAAAUGUCUGUUGUUGGAGAUAGA